UCAGGUGGCCGCAGAGAAUAGUCCCAAGCGACUGUCUACCAAAAACAUAGGUUUCUGCUAAGUCGCAAGACGAUGUAUAGGAGCUGACGCCUGCCCGGUGCCGGAAGGUUAAGGGGAUCUGUUAGAGCAAUCGAAGCAGUGAACUUAAGCACCAGGAAACGGCGGCGGUAACUAUAACGGUCCUAAGGUAGCGAAAUUCCUUGUCGGGUAAGUUCCGACCCGCACGAAAGGCGUAACGAUUUGGGCACUGUCUCAACAACAGACUCGGUGAAAUUGUAA
rnacentral:rRNA from 1 species